rnacentral:rRNA from 1 species
CGAACGGGUGAGUAACGCGUGGGUAUCUACCUUUAAGUCCAAGAUAACUUCUCGAAAGGGAAGCUAAUAGUGGAUAAACUCCUUGUGGAGUAAAGACAGCUUCUGUCGCUUAAAGAUGAGCCUGCGUCCCAUUAGCUAGUUGGUAAGAUAACAGCUUACCAAGGCAACGAUGGGUAGCCGGCCUGAGAGGGCGAUCGGCCACACUGGGACUGAGACACGGCCCAGACUCCUACGGGAGGCUGCAGUGGGGAAUCUUCCGCAAUGGGCUAACGCCUGACGGAGCAACGCCGCGUGAGUGAUGAAGGCUUUCGAGUCGUAAAGCUCUGUCUUUUGGGACGAACCCCCUGGUUGGAAGCCAGGCUUGACGGUACCAAAAGAGGAAGCCCCGGCUAAUUACGUGCCAGCAGCCGCGGUAAUACGUAAGGGGCAAGCGUUGUCCGGAAUUACUGGGCGUAAAGGGUACGCAGGCGGUCUGGCAAGUCAGAGGUGAAAGCCACCGGCUUAACCGGUGAGGUGCCUUUGAAACUGUUAGACUUGAGGACAGGAGAGGAAAGUGGAAUUCCCGGUGUAGUGGUGAAAUACGUAGAGAUCGGGAAGAAUACCAAUGGCGAAAGCAGCUUUCUGGCCUGGUCCUGACGCUGAGGUACGAAAGCCAGGGUAGCAAACGGGAUUAGAUACCCCGGUAGUCCUGGCUGUAAACGAUGGACACUGAGUGUUGGGGGUUAAACUCCCUCAGUGCUGCAGUUAACGCGUUAAGUGUCCCGCCUGGGGAUUACGACCGCAAGGUUGAAACUCAAAGGAAUUGACGGGGGCCCGCACAAGCGGUGGAGCAUGUGGCUUAAUUCGAUGCAACGCGAAGAACCUUACC